CAUUGAGAAGCGGUUGGAGAGGAGGGAUGGGGGGCACGGGUUGGGUGAAGCGGUUUCGUCUGUGCCUGCUGUACUGCAGCGACCAGUCCCACACUGAGGGCAGAGGAGGGUCCGAGGGGUCGGAGGAAGAAUCCGGAUGAAGCACAUCCCUCCAGCCAUUCACUGGUGUCCAUUACCUGAGAGCGUUUGCAUCUCUCCCGCUGGCAGUUGGCCAGGAAGCUGGAGAAGAGUGGCAGGUGGAUGCUGUCGUGCAACGCCAACAGGAAGUCACCUGUCAGCUGGAAGCGAGAGGGAUACUGGGACAAGAGCUGCCAAACACAGUCCAGGAAGAGCAGGAAGACUGGAGCCUGCAGGCACAGAGGGAAGGGAAGGCGUUGAUGCGGCUGUAGAAGCGGUGGCCGGACAUCACCCACUCCUUCUGCACGAGGCUCUGGAAACCGUGCUGGGUCCGACAGUGGGGGUCACACAUCACCUGCACCAGGCUGGACACAAUGCAGCCCAUGUCCCGGUCGUCCGCUUCUGCAACGUCAAAACAGAGGAGCACACGCUGAAAAAGGUCAUAGGAAUUCUUAUAUAUUCCUAUAAAUAUAACCAAUCUGCUAAAGACGAGACUGUUGUUUGUAGUAUUUGGGUAAUAUGACUCCAUUUACCAUGUAGCACUUUUUCUUUAUGUCUUCGGUAAAUGUCAUACAUCAUUAGUGGGCAGUUUGUGGCUUAUACAGUUAGCGGAUAUGAAAUAACAUGUUGUACACAAAGCACCAUAUUGCUUUUAUAUUAUUCUGAAUGUGUUUUUCUUUUAAAUUCAG